UUUAAUUCAUGGUUGUAAGCAUGGAGUUCAAAGUAAUAAAAAUACAAAGUUUUUAUCUUUCAACAAACGAAAUGUUCAUCUUUGUCAUUGAGCGAGUAAUUUGGUCAACUUAUCAAGGUAAUCUUGUGGUGUUUUUUCAAAUCUUUAACUUAUCCCAAUUACUUUAGUUGAUAUCACACAUUAAUAGUUGGGUUAAGUAAGGAGUAUUUACUUAGAAAUUAAAUCUUUGUUGCUAACUGAAAUUAUGUGAAUUUUGGAUUGCAUUGUUAAUUAUAGGUUCUGCAUCAUCCCCUCCCUUUUGUAAGCUGUUUGCCAACUCCAUUUUCACGGAUUCUCUAUGUGCUAACUCAUCUUUUUGUUUUCUGCUCCCCAUUCCUUAUUUUUUAUUUCAUUUUACUCUAAAUGUCUUUAAAGAACUGUAUUCCCUUACCGUCUAAACCGUCCAUUUUAGUCUCUUGCAAAAAGAUGAUCUCUGGUUUUAG
rnacentral:lncRNA from 1 species